GGAGAGAUGGCCGAGUGGCCGAAGGCGGCACCCUGCUAAGGUGUUAUAUCCUAACGGGUAUCGAGGGUUCGAAUCCCUCUCUCUCCGCCA
rnacentral:tRNA from 1 species